rnacentral:rRNA from 1 species
AGUGAACGCUGGCGGUAGGCCUAACACAUGCAAGUCGAACGGCAGCACAGUAAGAGCUUGCUCUUACGGGUGGCGAGUGGCGGACGGGUGAGGAAUACAUCGGAAUCUACUUUUUCGUGGGGGAUAACGUAGGGAAACUUACGCUAAUACCGCAUACGACCUACGGGUGAAAGCAGGGGAUCUUCGGACCUUGCGCGAUUGAAUGAGCCGAUGUCGGAUUAGCUAGUUGGCGGGGUAAAGGCCCACCAAGGCGACGAUCCGUAGCUGGUCUGAGAGGAUGAUCAGCCACACUGGAACUGCGACACGGUCCAGACUCCUACGGGAGGCAGCAGUGGGGAAUAUUGGACAAUGGGCGCAUGCCUGAUCCAGCCAUACCGCGUGGGUGAAGAAGGCCUUCGGGUUGUAAAGCCCUUUUGUUGGGAAAGAAAAGCAGCAGGUUAAUACCCCGCUGUUCUGACGGUACCCAAAGAAUAAGCACCGGCUAACUUCGUG